GGGUCGGUGCCCGAGUGGCCAAAGGGAGCAGACUGUAAAUCUGCCGGCUAUGCCUACGGGGGUUCAAAUCCCUCCCGGCCCACCA
rnacentral:tRNA from 1 species